UACGGGGGGGGCAAGCGUUGUUCGGAAUUACUGGGCGGAAAGGGCUCGUAGGCGGCCAACUAAGUCAGACGUGAAAUCCCUCGGCUUAACCGGGGAACUGCGUCUGAUACUGGAUGGCUUGAGUUCGGGAGAGGGAUGUGGAAUUCCAGGUGUAGCGGUGAAAUGCGUAGAUAUCUGGAGGACCACCGGUGGCGAAGGCGGCAUCCUGGACCGACACUGACGCUGAUGAGCGAAAGCCAGGGGAGCAAACGGG
rnacentral:rRNA from 1 species